GUAGAUUUCAGCGGUGAUAAUGGAUACUUCAAAGGACCGUGCGGCGUGAAAUUUCAGGCCUUGGUUGGUUUUUUUUUUCCGUAUCGUUUCUCAGGAUCAGUUGGAGUGCAUUGUCGUUGGCUUUAUAAUCCGGAUGCGUUGAGGAUUUUACGUUUAGCAUGAGAAGAGGAAAUGUAUCAUUGUUGUCAAGA